GCCUGGCUAGCUCAGUCGGUAGAGCAUGAGACUCUUAAUCUCAGGGUAAGGGGUUCGAGCCCCCCCGUUGGGCG
rfam:Daphnia pulex DAPPTscaffold_154_Cont6111, whole genome shotgun sequence.